rnacentral:rRNA from 1 species
UACAGAGGGUGCAAGCGUUAAUCGGAAUUACUGGGCGUAAAGCGUGCGUAGACGGUUACAUAAGUCGGGUGUGAAAGCCCCGGGCUCAACCUGGGAAUUGCAUUCGAGACUGCGUAGCUAGGGUGCGGAAGAGGGAAGCGGAAUUUCCGGUGUAGCGGUGAAAUGCGUAGAUAUCGUAAGGAAGACCAGUGGCGAAGGCGGGUCUCUGGACAGUUCCUGACGCUGAGGCACGAAGGCCAGGGGAGCAAACGGG